ensembl:lncRNA
UUUUCACAUUUGGUUUGACAGGAAGGUCACAUCUGACAUUUCUUGGUUUUCCUGCAGGACUUGUUAAGACCCACAUGCAGAAUAUGAGCUUCAGCCGACCCUCCCUGGGAGAAGCCACGGAAGCAUCGUCCACACGCACAGCCCAGUACAGCCAAAUGGGCAAACGGCGUGUCAGCAUUUGCAGCUCAUCAGCAAGGAGUUCUGGCUGCUCCCCUGGUCCACAGUGUCCACAGGCUGUGGUCCUUCCCAUCAGGGCAGGGAAUGGAUCUUGCUUCUCUGCAUGACAGCCAGCCUGCGGGGAGAGGUGUGUGGGGCCCAGGGACAACUCCUGACCUGCUGCUGUGGGGGAGAUCCACAGAUGGAGGCACGACUUGGAGUGAACACCCAAAGUCCUGGUUAGGACACAGUCCUGGGGUCUGAGUUAGAAGUGAACUAUUUCUUGCCAUUUGGGUGGUGUUUAUGGCAGUACCAGCUCCAAGACAAGCCCAUCACUUCCUGAAGGACUUGCUAAAGCUCAGCAGGAGAUGACAAAGCCCAUAUCAAAGCCAUGGGAGCAGCGACUGCUGCCACACAGGGGACACCUGUAACCUAUGUGCAGUGUUGGGGGCAUCAUGCUUUCUUCUUGAUCUGCUCUUGAACUUUUCCCCGGCUCCCCUUGCCCUGUACAAGGCACAGACAUGCCAGUGUUCCUGUAGCAGUUGGCGUUGUGCUCCAGCUGUGGAUCUAAUUGUGCUUUCUGAGCUGCAUGCAGGCAGCCCAGGGCAGUGCCACCGGUCAUCCCCAGCCACAGGUUCCUCCCAGCUGUGGUGCAGAGCUGGGCUGGGACAGGACUGAGCCAGGAUCCUGCCGCAGUCACCCCUACAGAUCGUGCUUCCAGCAUGAAGCUCCAACUCUGCAGAGAGAAGGCAGUGAGGAUGCUUUCGGGGUCCACGCAAGGCAGGAUGAGACACCCAUGCUACAGUUCUGCUAUCAGUGCAUGCUUGAUUGCUAACACCCAGCGAACCACCUCGGGCAGCAGUUCUGUUUACUCUCAGCUGGAGCCUGGCUUCCUCACUGUGCAGCAUCCAGGCCUUCACAAGCCAGCGGAGUUGCACCUUCACAGCCCUGUGCAUGCAAUGAGGAAGCACUUUCACGGCCACAGUCCAACGUGGGCUGUCCCAUCUCAGUCGCUGGGCACUGAGUAUGGAAAGGGAGAGCCUGGCUUGAUGCCCAAGCCCUCUGCAGAGGUGAAGUUGGCAGCGUGGCUUGGGAACGCCUUGUGAACAAGGUGCUUUUGUCCUGGAGUUGUGACUCUUGUGUAGAGCGUUUCAGCUCAGCCACUCUUCCCCUCCCCUCCAAACAAGGAAGGACAAAACAAGUCCAGCUGGAACUGAAAGAGCAGAGGAGGCCUGGAGAGCAGGCUGGGUUAAUGCCUGGUGCUGUGACCCCUCUGCUAAUGGACUCAGCACCACUUUCACGAGCCCACAUUGUCCCUGCCUGACUCUGCUAGCCAUGAGAACCUGAAAGGAGUUACUGUAGUGCUGGAAAAAUUAAGGCUAGCAAGGAUCUCUGGAAGCCUUUGGUCCAACCUCUAUUCCUUCUGAGUUUUGAGUACCUCCAGGAGUGGAGAUGCAACCACCUGCCCCGCUGCUUGACCACUAGACCAAAUGACCAUGGGAUGAGCUGAGGGACAGGGAUUAGGGACCCGCUCUGCAGUUGGACAAAGUAGUUCUCCACACAUGAUCCCAGUUCUCCUUUUUUUUCCCAUCUAGAAGCUCAGUCUCCAGAACACCAUCAACCAUGGCAUGGCCAGAACCUGCCCACCGUGGUAUCCCUGAGCCAGGGGCAGGACGGAGGGAGCUAAAGAACCAAAGGAUGACACCCAUGGGUGUUCAUCAAGGCCAGCAGAUAAGUUUUCUUCCUGUGAUGAAGUUAGAGCUGCCUGGAUAGAAUCCUGUUUUCCCAUGAAAGUUUUGGGGGACUUUCACAUCUCUCACUUGCGCUGCCAUUCCAUCUGCUCACAAAAGGCCCCAAGAAGGAGCUCAGCAGGCAAAUAGUUUGGGUGGAGUUGCCAACUAAAUUAAAAAAAAUAAAAUGUAAUGUC